AUUCCAUGAUGUGGGCACUUCCUUUUUACGUCUCUUUAAAUAGUUCCCAUGCAUCAUAUAAAUAUUCCCCAUGCAGUUGAUGGAAAUUAUUAAUCUCUCUUCUUAUUCU